CCAAGAAUCUUCCGCAAUGGACGAAAGUCUGACGGAGCGACGCCGCGUGAGGGAUGAAGGUCUUCGGAUUGUAAACCUCUUUUGUUCGGGAAGAAUAAGUCUGUCAGGAAAUGGGCAGAUGAUGACGGUACCGAAUGAAUAAGCCCCGGCUAAUUACGUGCCAGCAGCCGCGGUAAUACGUAAGGGGCUAGCGUUGCUCGGAAUUACUGGGCGUAAAGGGCGUGUAGGCGGCCGAGUAAGUCGAAUGUAAAAAACCAGGGCUUAACCCUGGGGAUGCGUUCGAAACUGCUCGGCUUGAGUCUGGUGGAGGGUAAUGGAAUUCCCGGUGUAGCGGUGAAAUGCGUAGAUAUCGGGAAGAACACCGAAGGCGAAGGCAGUUACCUAUGCCGAGACUGACGCUGAGGCGCGAAAGUAUGGGGAUCAAACAGG
rnacentral:rRNA from 1 species